UACGAAGGGGGCUAGCGUUGCUCGGAAUUACUGGGCGUAAAGCGCACGUAAGCGGAUCUUUAAGUCAGGGGUGAAAUCCUGGAGCUCAACUCCGGAACUGCCUUUGAAACUAGGUAACUAGAAUCUUGGAGAGGUCAGUGGAAUUCCGAGUGUAGAGGUGAAAUUCGUAGAUAUUCGGAAGAACACCAGUGGCGAAGGCGACUGACUGGACAAGUAUUGACGCUGAGGUGCGAAAGCGUGGGGAGCAAACAGG
rnacentral:rRNA from 1 species